GAUUCCUCAGGAGCUGGUUGGAUUACUCCCUAGACAAGAAAACCUGAAACAAGCGGGGAAUUAGGGGUUUCAGAGAUAACUAUAAGGAAAUUUGGUUUCUGUUUGACAAUUGUUUGGCCAUUUCAACAAUUUAAGUAGCUUAAAUCUGUACUUAUUUUAUUAUGCAUAUGCAAACAGUUUAUAGUGGAUUA